AGAGUUUGAUUCUGGCUCAGAACGAACGCUGGCGGCGUGGAUAAGACAUGCAAGUCGAACGAGAGAAUUGCUAGCUUGCUAAUAAUUCUCUAGUGGCGCACGGGUGAGUAACACGUGAGUAACCUGCCCCCGAGAGCGGGAUAGCCCUGGGAAACUGGGAUUAAUACCGCAUAGUAUCGAAAGAUUAAAGCAGCAAUGCGCUUGGGGAUGGGCUCGCGGCCUAUUAGUUAGUUGGUGAGGUAACGGCUCACCAAGGCGAUGACGGGUAGCCGGUCUGAGAGGAUGUCCGGCCACACUGGAACUGAGACACGGUCCAGACACCUACGGGUGGCAGCAGUCGAGAAUCAUUCACAAUGGGGGAAACCCUGAUGGUGUGACGCCGCGUGGGGGAAUGAAGGUCUUCGGAUUGUAAACCCCUGUCAUGUGGGAGCAAAUUAAAAAGAUAGUACCACAAGAGGAAGAGACGGCUAACUCUGUGCCAGCAGCCGCGGUAAUACAGAGGUCUCAAGCGUUGUUCGGAAUCACUGGGCGUAAAGCGUGCGUAGGCUGUUUCGUAAGUCGUGUGUGAAAGGCGCGGGCUCAACCCGCGGACGGCACAUGAUACUGCGAGACUAGAGUAAUGGAGGGGGAACCGGAAUUCUCGGUGUAGCAGUGAAAUGCGUAGAUAUCGAGAGGAACACUCGUGGCGAAGGCGGGUUCCUGGACAUUAACUGACGCUGAGGCACGAAGGCCAGGGGAGCGAAAGGGAUUAGAUACCCCUGUAGUCCUGGCAGUAAACGGUGCACGCUUGGUGUGCGGGGAAUCGACCCCCUGCGUGCCGGAGCUAACGCGUUAAGCGUGCCGCCUGGGGAGUACGGUCGCAAGAUUAAAACUCAAAGAAAUUGACGGGGACCCGCACAAGCGGUGGAGUAUGUGGCUUAAUUCGAUGCAACGCGAAGAACCUUACCUGGGCUUGACAUGUAAUGAACAACAUGUGAAAGCAUGCGACUCUUCGGAGGCGUUACACAGGUGCUGCAUGGCCGUCGUCAGCUCGUGUCGUGAGAUGUUUGGUUAAGUCCAGCAACGAGCGCAACCCCUGUUGCCAGUUACCAGCACGUGAAGGUGGGGACUCUGGCGGGACUGCCCAGAUCAACUGGGAGGAAGGUGGGGACGACGUCAGGUCAGUAUGGCCCUUAUGCCCAGGGCUGCACACGUACUACAAUGCCCAGUACAGAGGGGGCCGAAGCCGCGAGGCGGAGGAAAUCCUGAAAACUGGGCCCAGUUCGGACUGUAGGCUGCAACCCGCCUACACGAAGCCGGAAUCGCUAGUAAUGGCGCAUCAGCUACGGCGCCGUGAAUACGUUCCCGGGUCUUGCACUCACCGCCCGUCA
rnacentral:rRNA from 1 species